rnacentral:rRNA from 1 species
GGGUGAGUAACGCGUGGGUAACCUGCCUCACACAGGGGGAUAACAGUUGGAAACGACCGCUAAUACCGCAUAAGCCGGAAGGAUCGCAUGAUUCGGCCGGAAAAGAUUUAUCGGUGUGAGAUGGACCCGCGUCUGAUUAGCCAGUUGGCAGGGUAACGGCCUACCAAAGCGACGAUCAGUAGCCGGCCUGAGAGGGUGAACGGCCACAUUGGGACUGAGACACGGCCCAAACUCCUACGGGAGGCAGCAGUGGGGAAUAUUGCACAAUGGGGGAAACCCUGAUGCAGCGACGCCGCGUGAGUGAAGAAGUAUUUCGGUAUGUAAAGCUCUAUCAGCAGGGAAGAAAAUGACGGUACCUGACUAAGAAGCCCCGGCUAACUACGUGCCAGCAGCCGCGGUAAUACGUAGGGGGCAAGCGUUAUCCGGAUUUACUGGGUGUAAAGGGAGCGUAGACGGCCAGACAAGUCAGAAGUGAAAGCCCAGGGCUCAACUCUGGGACUGCUUUUGAAACUGCCGGGCUGGAGUGCAGGAGAGGUAAGCGGAAUUCCUAGUGUAGCGGUGAAAUGCGUAGAUAUUAGGAGGAACACCAGUGGCGAAGGCGGCUUACUGGACUGUAACUGACGUUGAGGCUCGAAAGCGUGGGGAGCAAACAGGAUUAGAUACCCUGGUAGUCCACGCCGUAA